CAAACGGAGUUUCGUUCUCAUUUUACAACUACAUUUUGGAUUAUAAUGAUACUUUUCACAUACAAUGACAUAAAGUAUAUCUACGUCUGUAAUUAGUUUAUAGAGCUCUAGUUUCUAAAACAAACGAAAUAGAGCAAAAACAAGUUCUGAAUGAAAAACUUAAAUUCGCUGUAUUUUUAAAGUUUGGUAUCUGAAGCUACAUAAACUAAUUACAGGCAUAAAUAUACCUUAUCUUAUCGUAAAUACAAAGUUUCAGUAGAGCAUUCUAGCUAGUUUUAAAAUGAGAGCGUAACUACGUUUGUAUGGAGAAUGGAGCUUGCUGCGGGCUCUUAAAACAACUCUACCCAAUCCAAUAACAUCAAAAACAUUAAUGACUCCACAACAUUCAAGAAAACUGGUUUCCCUUUAUCAAUUUUCAUACAUUUAGGGUUAAAAUUUGCGGAAGUCUCAUACAAACUUCCACUAGAUUAAGGGAAUAGGGGUAAAGGUUCCAAGUUUUAGAUUAUAGUACCUGGGCGACCGAGCUUUGCUCGGUUAUAACUAUUUAUUGUAAUAUGGUGGUGUAUAGGUGAUAAUCUUAACUAAAUUUUUUUACUAAAUUAAACUUGUCUAAAACAAUAAAAAUUAAAAAAUUAUAUAUAAACUUGAACAUAUAAAAAAACAAAAGUUAGUCACUGGGCGAGAUUUGAACCCGUAACACUAGCAGUCCGCGUCUUAACCCGCUGGACCAGACGGACAGUGGCCGGCAACACGAAAUUUGCGACCAUAUUCUGCGUCGAAAGAAAAACGCAUGAAAACUCGAAAACACGCGUUUUCUCAAACAUAAGACUAAUCUAAAUCGAUUGUUUACCCCCAAAAACCCCCAUAUAUACCAAAUUUCAGCAAAAUCGUUAGAGCCGUUUCCGAGAUCCCGGAAAUAUAUAUAUACAAGAAUUGCUCAUUUAAAGGUAUAAGAUACUAGCUUACAUACCAAAUUUCAGCUUGUUAUAAAUAAUAAAACGCAUAUUAUAGGAUUUUUAGUAAAUAGUCCCACAAUAAGCUUAGCAAGCCUUGUGUUGUGGGUACUAGACGAAGAUAUGUAUAUGUAUGUAUAUAUAUAUAUAUAUAUAUAUAUAUAUACAGGGCGCCCAAAGACUAUGGGACAUCAAGGGAAAGUACCUUAAAUAUCGUAGAUGGGAUCCUAAGAAUUACUUGUUUCGCCUGGGAAUCGAACCGACUUAAUAAUUUCCUUGAAAUUUGACUCAAACAUUUUACGUUGUUCCUUUCUUUUAAAAUACUACGUUACUUAAGAAGAAUUAUUAUUUUUUGUCCAUUCUUUCGAUUGGCAUCAUAAAAAUAGGGGUGAUUUUUUUUUCACAUUUCACAAGUAAUUCUUAGAAAACCUUUAAAUGCAGAAUUACUGAGUUUUAUAAAUAACGUAAAGUCUUCUUUCAGCAAAAUAUCCUAUCUACGAUAUUUAAGGUACUUUCCCUUGAUGUCCCAUAGUCUUGGGACGCUCUGUAUAUACACCGUGUUUUUUUUUAUUUCCGUAUUUCCGUUAAUUUCAAGGGUGCAAAAUCGUAUCUCAUUCAAGUGUGACAUUUUAUUGAUGAUCAAACGAACUUACCAAGUGAAGUUCGAUCACAAUUAUGUGAGCAACUUCAUUCGACGCGAUUUAUUGUUUACAUAUUGUAGUUACGCUCCCACGCAUCAGCCUUGCACGAUUUUUAAAGUUUUUUUCUUUUCUUAUACUGGUAACACUGAAAACUUGCUCCCAUCCCCUCUACGGCAUCAUGGUAGGUCCGUAAACCGCCAUAUUCUAAUCAUUUUGUUUAAAGCAUACAUAAUUACUGAGAAUUUAUUUCACCAUUUUUACUUAUGUCGGGUAGGGUGCCGUCAGCCAACGAUAUUUUUAAAUGUUGAGGGUGGGUUGUGAUAAAUCGCGUCGAAUGAAGUUGCUCACAUAAUUGUGAUCGAACUUCACUUGGUAAGUUCGUUUGAUCAUCAAUUAUAUUUCGCAACUUCAUUCUUUGCGAUUUAUUGUUUACAUAUUGUAGGAUGUUCAGAGCAAAUGUGAAAUAAUUCUCAAACUCACAGAGGAGAUAAAAUAAAUCAAAUUAAAGACAAAAAAAUACCUCUUCUAAGGUUCUUCGUUGAUGAGAGAAUUGCCUGAGCAAACUGAUUGCAAUCAACUACAAUUUCUUUAUUGUAAAAUUUGGCAAAAACGCAAGAGGAAUCACUCCAACCUGCAGUCUUGCGUAUAACAUCUAAGCUAACACCCAAUCUGUUGGCUGUAGAAGUGGCCGAAUGCCUAGUACUAUGGGCAGUGAAUAUUUUUGUGUCUAUACCGCUAUUGUGAAGUGUGUCUUUAAUCCAGUGACUCAAUGUUUGUGAUGAUACUUUUGAGUGUGGUUUCUUAUAGCUGAUAAAUAAAGUGUUGUUUUCUAAACUGCGAA